rnacentral:lncRNA from 1 species
UCACAAGUUGUACUCCAAAGUUAGUACUCUAAACCUAUUACAUUUUGAGCUCCAUCAUCCAAAGAUCUACAAGGCAUACAAAUGAUCAUCAUUGUUAGGAAUCAACGGCUCGGUCAGAUUGUAGUGGAACUCACCGCUUGGACUUAUGCAUUGUUCCCGAAGAAAUUCUGCUAGUGCCUUUUGUAUUGCUUGGAAUUGUUCAUGUUGCAUGAGUUUUUGCUUCAACCAUUGAGUCUUCAAUUUAAAUAAAAAAUAAGAUAUUAUUUAUGUAUAGAUUAUCAAUAAUAUAGUAAUUCAAGAGAAAAUGAAAUCAUGUGUUGCUAUUCUGAGCUAUUCUUUAGGAAUUCUAUUUGAUUGAACCAUUAUAUACUCGCAAACAUAGUAUCCACAUAAGUUGUUGCUGGUUCUUAUCUCAAAAUCCAUUGUAGGAUGAAGAGAUUCAUCUCGUUAAAAAGAUGGCCGUAAUAUAUGUCAUAUGAUCGAUAUAAUAAAUAUAUAGGUAUAUUGAUGAAGGUUAAUAAUCUUACUGGUAGAUGUAUUAUUUUUAGUGGCGCCCUACAUUUAGUCAUAUGAUCCGAGGCAAUGAAGACCUCCCAGAGCCUAAACCAAUGAUAAGAAACAAGAGUCGAAUAUCAUUAAGUAUAGAAGCUUCUUAGUCUACUAUGCUGUAACACCCAGGUGUUUGCCUAGUUAGACAAUGGGUUUUGAGCUCAAACAUGCCAAAUCAAUGGUGGU